AUUGUUAAAUGCAUAGAAGUGAAACCUAAGACGUAAGCAAGAAUUAAGAAAGAAAUAUCAACUCUUACAAUUAGUAAUCAAACUUAUUGUUAGUAGUGUCAAUUGGAAAUUAUUAAAAAUAAAAUAAAAUAAAAUAAGCCUGUAACUUAUAUGUGUGCUAAGAAAUUCAACAAUUACUUAUAAUAGAAAACUUAAUUUUAUUAAAAUCUAUUUUUUGUUUCUUUUUUUAGUAAUUCUAAUGAAAAGAAAAUAUCUCUUUAAAUACAACAAAAGCGUAGUAAUAAUUAAUGUCGUUUCUGUAUUAUGCAUUUGUAAAACUGUUUCAUGAUGACCUAGACAACAUAAUUUAAAAACAACGUCAUUACAAUCAGAACUCGAUUAUUUUUAACCUCCUUCGUAAACUCGCAUAUCGCGGUCCAGAAAGGACACUUAUCAUUGUCACCAUCCUCAAAACUAUUUUGCGAUGACUGCAUUUGAUCGGCUUAUGCUCUCUAUCACAACGUGUAAAAAUAGUUUGUUACACAUGAUAUAUACGCAUUUGUUAUUAUUUUACGGUUAGAUGAGAGAAAUUUUUCAAAAUCUUGGAGAAAGAUUUGAUAAAAAUUAUGUAAGAAGAACAAAUAAAUAAUGAAAAAAAUAAGAAAACUAUUUAAAUACAAACAAUUGACUAUAAAGAACAAAUUAGAAAUUAUUAAACUUGCUGAACUAGACAUACAAUAAUCAAAGAUUUCUGGUCAAUAUAAAGUGGUAGGAUCAAUAUAUCAUGUAUUAUCCAAAAAAAAGGAAAAAUGUUAAUUAUCAUCGCUAGAGAAGAAAAUAUUCCACAAAAGAACAAAGGGCCUUUGAUGCGAGAGAAGGCUUUAUUCUUCAAUAAGCAGCUUAAAGGACCACCGACUUCAAAGCCACAGUUCAAGCUGGUUAGGAAGAUUUAAGGUAAGAUUUGAAAUUUUUAUCAACUUAGUAUUCAAAGAGAGUAAUUGUCAGCAAAUGUAAAUGAAGCUGCAGUAUUCAAAUAGAAAUUUUCCCAAAUUAUUGGAGAAUCGGUACGAGAAGAUACAGAUGCACCUACACAGCGAUAACUCUCUGAUAAAGAACUGAUAGAAAAAUAUUUAAGAACAGAAAAUUAUGAAAUGCGUAGGUUCAUAGGAAUAGAGUAAUUUUGUAAAAUAAUUUACAACAAUAAACAAUCUGUAUA
rnacentral:misc_RNA from 1 species